AUGCUACAGAGGAGUCUUUUGAAUUUGUAAUUUCCAUUUUGAAGUAUUUGCUGCUGUCAUGCAUGAUAUUUUGAUUUGCAACGAGGCUCUCAGAAAAGAGUAUUCUGAUGUCUUUUUCUAUAACAGCCUGAAGGGGAACGGAAAAAUAUUGUGACUGUUAUUGAACUGGACCCAAGGGUAAAAGGAGUUGAUGGAACCCAGGAACAAACGGUCAUAGCCAAUAAAUUAGAUGACAAGGUGCCUGAAACAGAAAUUGAGACCAAGAUUUCUGUUCUAGGUGACCCUGUGGCUCAGAUUAUUGAAAACUCAAUUGAUGGAAGUAAACUCAAUCAUCUCAUUAUUACUCCUUCUGGCUGUGGGGAGCAAAAUAUGAUCACCAUGACUCCAUCGGUCAUUGCCACCUAUUACUUGGACGCAACAGGGCAGUGGGAGAAUCUUGGCGUGGAUCGCAGGACUGAAGCUGUCAAACAGAUCAUGAAAGGUUAUGCCCAGCAGAUGGUGUACAAGAAAAAAGAUCAUUCCUAUGCAGCAUUUGUAAAUCGUGCAUCUAGUUCUUGGUAGGGA